ensembl:snoRNA SNORD18 Small nucleolar RNA SNORD18
AUUCAAUGAUGAUAUUCCACUUCAAGGUCCGUGUUUCUGACGACUGAUUAUGUUGGAAGAUCUGAUAGG